GGUCCCGUAGUGGAGCGGUUUAACACGCCUGCCUGUCACGCAGGAGAUCGCGGGUUCGAUUCCCGUCGGGACCGC
rnacentral:tRNA from 8 species